AUACGUAGGUGACAAGCGUUAUCCGGAUUUACUGGGCGUAAAGGGCGUGUAGGCGGUCUUGCAAGUCAGAAGUGAAAUUCCUGAGCUCAACUCGGGCGCUGCUUCUGAAACUGCAGGACUUGAGUGCUGGAGGGGAUAGCGGAAUUCCUAGUGGAGCGGUAAAAUGCGCAGAUAUUAGGAAGAACACCGGUGGCGAAGGCGGCUAACUGGACAGUAACUGACGCUGAGGCGCGAAAGCGUGGUGAGCAAACAGGAUUAGAUCCCCUGGUAGUCCACGCUGUAAACGAUGAAUACUAGGUGUAGGGGGUAUCGACUCCCUCUGUGCCGCAGUUAACACAAUAAGUAUUCCGCCUGGGGAGUACGGCCGCAAGGUUGAAACUCAAAUGAAUUGACGGGG
rnacentral:rRNA from 1 species